rnacentral:misc_RNA from 1 species
AAUGUUUUUCAAUUAUUGUGCUAUUUGCUAGGCACAAAACUACGCUGAAGACCCAAGGCGAUGAAAAACUCAACAAUGUCGUUACAAAAAAAGCUUCACACAAAUUUACCGAAAACAAAGCAUACGUGUGAUAAAAGUCAAUAUUAUAAAACAAUAAGGCGAAAACAAAUUUUAAAGCGCCGUAUUGAACUAAGUAGAAUGUGCAACAGCGCAUACCGGGCAUAAGCGCCUAGAGGUAUGCAACAAUUUGCAGAAGAAGUUUAUGUAUGGAAGGCGCAGCAGAAGUGUAUUGCAAAAAGUCCUGCACACGUUCAUAUGUAUAUGCGUAUGUGUUAGUGAGUUGCUGCACUUGUACUUGGAGAUAUGUAAGUGGUUGUAAGUGCGCACACAAGCUCAAGUGCCAAAGUGUGUUGAGCUUUUACUAAAGGAGUUGCGUGAAGUUGUUUGCCACUAUAAGCGUGCUGCAGGGAAAGAGUUGUUAAUGUGAGGCGUGUAAUUACUAACAAAUAACUGCACUUGAAAGCGAAAUAAAAAAGCAACAAAAACAACAAAUGCUUAUAGCUGCUUGCAAAUAUUAGAAAGCAAAAGUGAGUUGUGUGAGUGCGAUAACUACGCCCGCAUCGCAACAUCAUCUUCUCGUCUGGAUUUCCUUCUCCGCGCUUACUGCUUGCUCGUACGUUGCAACUUUCAAUCUCUUCACGCACGCAGCGAUAUUUUACGUGUUGCUAAAGUUUAGGAAACUGCAACAGAAUAGCAUUUUAAAUCAGCAGCAUCGUUUUUAACUGCCUGUCUUCCACCAACAACGGAGCAAAACUUAUAAACUUUCAACCAAGUACUUGUAACAAGCUGAUUUGACUUGUAAUAACGCUUGCGUACAACUAACUUGCCGCUCACGUCAACAGCCAAGACGGCGGCACCUCAAGACCCAUGCACAGUAUAAGCUCCAUUUUUGUGGCCAAAAGUUGCAUUGUUGCACAAAGUGCGCAUCAGAACUACUAACGGAGGUAAAAACUCUACAAAAGUUAAAUGGACAUACUUACUAUAAUGUCGCCUGACGUCGUGAGGGCAAGUGAACCAAGUGGACUAAAAAGCUGAACCGCAAAGCAAGUUCAACAACAUAGAGUCACAAACACCGCAAAGCAAAUAUGUAGACUGCAUUAAGCUAUAAAGUUUGUAAGUCGUAAAUGCAAAAAAAAAACAGUAUUUACAACAGCAAACCAAAAGCAUGCGCGUUUUGCAAAAAAGCUAACGCCAGGACACCUGCGCCUUGAACAUAGCUAAAAGCGUCAGUUGCGACCUGCAACAAGUACCACAUAACUGAAAUAUAAAACACACCAAAAGCAGCUACAUAGCACACAUUCAUUGAAGGUUGCUUCUCCCUCCUAUUGCUAACCAGCCAUCACAUCACACAUUAUCUCCGACGGUCUGUGGUUAAGCUGCAAGCACAAAUCCAUAUACAAUGCCCAUGAAUACCAUCACAGUUGUAGCACGCGUCUUUGUUUUUUACCGUCAUUCGCCUUCUUCUCGCCUAACAUCUACAUAUUCUACUCGCAUUACACACGAAGCCACUAAGCAUAUUGGCUUUAUCUCCACCGCCAUGGGUCAGUUUAAAUGUUGCUGCGUGGACACUUUGUGUGGAAUAAGGAGUUUUUUGCCCAUCACCAUCCGCCCCCGGAGUGGAAACGGAAGUGAUACGUUCAUGUUUGCACAAGUUCCACCGUCACUUAAGGCUGCCAAUCAAUUGCUAGGCGCACCCGUUGAACGUGAAAUCAAUAUCGAAUGCAUUGUGAAAGUUUAUCCGGAGCUGUUCGCUGGCUGGUAUCACAAUGAAGUGAUGUGGAUGUCUGCGGAUAGGUAACUUAAACCUGCACAGUAGCAACAAGUAGAAGCUAUCGGAUGCCAUGUUUAACUUGUACACGUGGCAUCUCAACCUGACAAACCUUCAUCUGUCUAAGGCCGAAUUUGGCGCCUAUACGACUACGACUAUACGACUACAAGGUACCAAAGCACAACGUUAGUGAUGUCAUCGAUGGCGACGAAAAAUCGCAGCAACCGUCAUUGCCCCGGCUCAUAUCCCCAGCGC